rnacentral:lncRNA from 1 species
GACUACUUAUAUUGCUUACAAAUAAUUUCAGACUAGAAUGUCAUAAUUUCAAUCUAUAAUAUUAUAAUUUUGAUUCAAAAUAUCAUAACCUAUAUUCAGGAAUGUUUUCUACCUAUAGAAUGCCAUAAUUUUAAUCUAGAAUGCAUAAUUUUGAGUCAAAAUAACAUAAAAUUAUCAAAAAGUAUACUUAAAAAGUAUUUUACCUGUAAGAUAUCAUAAUAUUAAUAUAAAAUAUCAUAAUUUUAAUUUAAGAUAUCAUAAUAUUAUUAAAAUUA